CAAACUAAAGCUAAAGAAACUAAACUCAUUUUUGCAAUGUUACCAAUAGAGAAACAGAUAGAUAAAUGUACCUCAUGGUUGAAGUAGGUAUCAGGUUCGUAGUUGAACUUGAUGCCAGGGUACGAGCAGGUGAGUUUGCGACCACAAGGGAUCCACGAGAUGGUUGAGCCUUCAUCGAAAAGGUAAACCGGGCUGAAGUACUUAACACCUUCCUUCAUUAUCAACCUCACUCUCAACACUUUGCCUUCAUUGUCAUCUGGAAUCAGCUGCGUUGGAAGCACUUCUAUCACCGCAUCCGCAUACUGCUUUUGCGGGUCUGUAUAAGCCGUUCAUAGAUUGUUAAACAGAUCAUUUUGUUUUAUCAGGGAAAAUUGAAAAUUAAAUUAUACCAAUGAAUGCAUCAAAGUCGGGCUUUCGUGCUUCGAUACUUGCUUUGAUGCUCUCUAAGCUGUGACCUCUUUCAGCCAUGUCCCUCUGGAUUUUCCAAGCGAACUUGACCUCAUUGCCGGUGUUAGCGGGAAAAUACAUUUUUCCGGUUUUGGCGGGAAAAUACGAUUUUUCGGUUUUGGCGGGAAAAUAUGGUUUUCCGGUUUUGGCGGGAAAAUACAUUUUUCCGGUUUUGGCGGGAAAAUAUGGUUUUCCGGUUUUGGCGGAAAAUACAUUUUUCUGGUUUUGGCGGGAAAAAUACGGUUUCCUGGUUUUGGCGGGAAAAUGAGUUUUCCGGUUUUAGCGGGAAAAUACAUUUUUCCGGUUUUGGCGGGAAAGUGUAUUUUUCAGUUUUUGCGAUAAAAUUUAUUUUUUGGUUAUAGCGAAAAAAUGUAUAUGCAAAAAAAUAGAAUUUACGGUUUGAAAAUAAUAUUUUGAUUUUAAAAGGUCAUUUUUGUCAUUGAUCAUUUUGGACUGAACUAGAUGCAUCUGCAUCCAAAUGCACCAUCAAGACUCACCUUCAUUUGGUGAGAAUUUGAGAUGAGUUUUUGAAAAUUCAGCUGGGUGAUCCAUCUGGAUGUAGCAUUAUAAUGCACAAAACGAACAUCAAUUUGCAUCUUCACCCAGAUGGAUCACCUGGGUGAGCAAACGAACAGGGCCUUACACCAAAAAAUAUAUAUGAGUAUGAUCAAUAGGAAGAUGGAUCAAUGUAUUAACCAGAUUAUUAUUGCUCUUCUAUAAACUUCUCUACAUAUAUAUAUUUUUUCUUGACCAUCUCCACACAAAUUACAAACCAAGAAAAACCGUCCUUUUUCGCCAUGAAAAUCCGCGGGAAACAACGCAUAAAGAAAGAAGGAAAGAAACUGGGAACGGAUUUAUCGAUGGAUUCUAUUUUGCUUUCUUAGGCUUUAGCAGCUUCUGCAGGAGCAGUGGCUUUGUUGGCGAUGAGCUGCUCAUAGAGAUCUCUGAUCUUCAAUCCAACAAUGGUCUGGAAAAGACCAGUCCCGUUGUUGCUACCAGGGAAGUCAGCAUGUUUAAGCAUCUGUUGAGUGACUUCACCGUAGAAUUUGCUCGAGAAGUUGCUCAAAUGGCUCUCCACGUAAAUCAGCUCGUCUAGUCUAUCGAACUGCCCAUCCAUCUCCAAAACCGAAACCUGAAACAGACAGAACAAAAUGCGCAAACUAAAGCUAAAGAAACUAAACUCAUUUUUGCAAUGUUACCAAUAGAGAAACAGAUAGAUAAAUGUACCUCAUGGUUGAAGUAGGUAUCAGGUUCGUAGUUGAACUUGAUGCCAGGGUACGAGCAGGUGAGUUUGCGACCACAAGGGAUCCACGAGAUGGUUGAGCCUUCAUCGAAAAGGUAAACCGGGCUGAAGUACUUAACACCUUCCUUCAUUAUCAACCUCACUCUCAACACUUUGCCUUCAUUGUCAUCUGGAAUCAGCUGCGUUGGAAGCACUUCUAUCACCGCAUCCGCAUACUGCUUUUGCGGGUCUGUAUAAGCCGUUCAUAGAUUGUUAAACAGAUCAUUUUGUUUUAUC
rnacentral:lncRNA from 1 species